rnacentral:lncRNA from 1 species
GACCUCUUGAGCCAGUGGGAGAUCUUUCCUCCCCAGAGCUGGAAGGUGGCUCUGGCAGCUGCCAUGGUGAGUGGAGUGGCAGUAGUCCUGGCCAUGACACCCUUUGAUGUGGCCAGCACAAGGCUUUAUAACCAACCCACUGAUACUCGAGGCAAGGUAAGGAAGUACUGUAGGGUUCAGGCUGACAAGAAAAGCUGGGGGUGGAGAAGCAGAUCCUCAAAUGCUGCCUAGAAAGGCGUCUGACCCUGGUGGGCUCUGACAUGCUCCUCCUGUGCUCUCCCUUCCUCUCCGACAUGCUCCAGGGCCUCAUGUACCGGGGGAUCUUGGACGCUCUGCUGCAGACAGCUCGGACAGAGGGCCUUUUUGGCAUGUACAAGGGUAUAGGUGCUUCCUAUUUUCGCCUCGGCCCCCACACUAUCCUCUCCCUCUUCUUCUGGGAUCAGCUGCGUUCCUUUUACAGCACAUAUGCUAAAUAGUGCUCACUCUCUUGUACUCCAAAUCAACACUCUUUGGGCACCUCUGCCUCCACAGCUUCCUGUAUCUCAGUGACUGCUGACCGAUCUGACUUUUCAAUGCACUUAAGGGGGACAGCCACGUCCACUCCUCUGUUCUCCUAGGGUUGAGCCACUAGAUGGGUCUUGCUUUAAAUUUCCCCACAAGUCCCCCUGAAAUAUUUCACACCCAUCUCAGGGUUGAAUCAGUCACUCCAAAGUGUAUUUCUACUGCCAUUCAUGGGUGCCCUCCCCCCGACUCCCCGUUCCUGUGCACAGCUUUAAACUCCCCCUUCCAAGACCAAAGGGAACUGGGGAGACCAGGUGUCCUCUUAGAUUCGAAGCCACAGAAAUUAUAUUCUUCAUAAAGCAAGUUUAUUUCUGCC